rnacentral:rRNA from 1 species
AACGAACGCUGGCGGCAGGCUUAACACAUGCAAGUCGAACGCCCCGCAAGGGGAGUGGCAGACGGGUGAGUAACGCGUGGGAAUCUACCCAUCUCUGCGGAAUAGCUCUGGGAAGCUGGAAUUAAUACCGCAUACGCCCUACGGGGGAAAGAUUUAUCGGGGAUGGAUGAGCCCGCGUUGGAUUAGCUAGUUGGUGGGGUAAAGGCCUACCAAGGCGACGAUCCAUAGCUGGUCUGAGAGGAUGAUCAGCCACAUUGGGACUGAGACACGGCCCAAACUCCUACGGGAGGCAGCAGUGGGGAAUAUUGGACAAUGGGCGCAAGCCUGAUCCAGCCAUGCCGCGUGAGUGAUGAAGGCCUUAGGGUUGUAAAGCUCUUUCACCGAUGAAGAUAAUGACGGUAGUCGGAGAAGAAGCCCCGGCUAACUUCGUGCCAGCAGCAGCCGCAG